GACGAACGCUGGCGGCGUGCUUAACACAUGCAAGUCGAACGGGAUCCGGGCUUUCGGGUUUGGUGAGAGUGGCGAACGGGUGAGUAACACGUGAGUAACCUGCCCCCUUCUUUGGGAUAACGUCGGGAAAUCGGCGCUAAUACUGGAUAUUCUUUCUGCAUCGCAUGGUGUGGUUUGGAAAGGGUUUCUGGUGGGGGAUGGGCUCGCGGCCUAUCAGCUUGUUGGUGGGGUGAUGGCCUACCAAGGCUUUGACGGGUAGCCGGCCUGAGAGGGUGUCCGGCCACACUGGGACUGAGACACGGCCCAGACUCCUACGGGAGGCAGCAGUGGGGAAUAUUGCACAAUGGGCGCAAGCCUGAUGCAGCGACGCCGCGUGAGGGAUGACGGCCUUCGGGUUGUAAACCCCUUUCAGUAUGGAACAAGGAUCCUUCUUUUGGGGGGUUUGAGGGUACGUGCAGAAGAAGCGCCGGCUAACUACGUG
rnacentral:rRNA from 1 species